rnacentral:rRNA from 1 species
GGAGUUAGCCGGUGCUUCUUCUGCGAGUAACGUCACAGAUGUAAGGUAUUAACUUACACCCUUUCCUCCUCGCUGAAAGUGCUUUACAACCCGAAGGCCUUCUUCACACACGCGGCAUGGCUGCAUCAGGGUUUCCCCCAUUGUGCAAUAUUCCCCACUGCUGCCUCCCGUAGGAGUCUGGGCCGUGUCUCAGUCCCAGUGUGGCUGAUCAUCCUCUCAGACCAGCUAGGGAUCGUCGCCUAGGUGAGCCUUUACCUCACCUACUAGCUAAUCCCACCUGGGCUUAUCCAUCAGCGCAAGGCCCGAAGGUCCCCUGCUUUCCCCCGUAGGGCGUAUGCGGUAUUAGCAGUCGUUUCCAACUGUUAUCCCCCACAAAUGGGCAAAUUCCCAGGCAUUACUCACCCGUCCGCCGCUCGUCAUCUUCAAAAGCAAGCUUUUGAAACUGUUACCGCUCGACUUGCAUGUGUUAGGCCUGCCGCCAGCGUUCAAUCUGAACCAAGAUCAAAUUCUGA